ensembl:piRNA 21ur-9721 ncRNA
UAAAUGGAUUCUAAAAAAAUA